rnacentral:rRNA from 1 species
UACGUAGGGGGGCAAGCGUUGUCCGGAAUCAUUGGGCGUAAAGAGCGUGUAGGCGGUUCGGUAAGUCGGCUGUGAAAGUCCAGGGCUCAACCCUGGGAUGCCGGUCGAUACUGCCGGACUAGAGUUCGGAAGAGGCGGGUGGAAUUCCCGGUGUAGCGGUGAAAUGCGCAGAUAUCGGGAGGAACACCUAUGGCGAAGGCAGCUCGCUGGGACGUUACUGACGCUGAGACGCGAAAGCGUGGGGAGCAAACAGG